rnacentral:lncRNA from 1 species
CUCUGGACUACGAUGUAGCUGGGAGGAUUAUUUUUUUUUCUCGAGUGAUAUUGCUUUAGGAUGGAGACAAAGCCUAAACAUUUUCCCUUUUGUUGGGUUUUCUCACACAAAUCCGAACAUCUGAAAACAAUGAUUUGUCAUGGGAGACUUUGGCAGCCCGAGCAAAGGUUUACUGUUUCUACUUUGCCUAAAAUAUUUACAAAGAAAAAUAUCUGACAUUCACAGUAAAUCAGACAAUGUUUCAGGCCCCUGACAUAACCCGUGGAGGCAGUUUGCAUGGUCUCCAAGAGGAGGGAAAGGAGAUCCCCUUUCUGGACAGUUUUUUUGGUUCAGUGCAGAAAGCUUGGCUCCCGGGGAAGGUGGGGAGGGUUAGAUAAAAUGGGAUGGGAACACCGAGGGGUCGCAGCGGUCUGUUUUUCCAGCUUGAUCCGCUCCUCACUUUCCCCAGCCAUCCUGAAAAGCCCCGAGGGUCUCCGGUGUAACACACCCUGCUUCCUCCGGGGUUUUCUCUCGCUGGCGGGCUGGGGAUGCCCGGGAGGAGUUCCUCAUCCCUGCCUUCCCAUCCCCACAGCAGCACCUCCGCCCGUGCCUUUGUCUGGCCGGCCCCAAAGCCUCCCCCGUGCCCGAAACCUCCAUCCCGCCGCGGGAAGGGCUGGGGGGAGCCCGGCUCCUCGCCCGGUGGCCCCUCGCAAGGGAGGGAAAAACAAGGGAGCUCUGCGAGCUGAGGACUUCACCCCGCGCUCCAGCUCCCCUCACCCAGGCCACAGCUCACACAAAGCUGAUCUGGUGGAAGCCUCCAGGUCUCCUUUUCUCCCUGCUUGGCUAUCAUCUCUUCCACCUACCGCCCCUCCAGCUUGGCACAGAGGUCUGUCUUUGGAAAUAAGGGCUUUGGGCUUGUCUGAAAUCCUCUGUCAGUGUGACUCUGGGGACACAGCAGCUGGAACACUAACAGCGAGAGGAGAUGAAGGGAAACUCCUUCUGCCUCUUCCUAGUAGUCGUACCUGGGGCUGCCAAAAACGUGCCCAGAGCAGUGCAGUCAGACACACCUAUUUCUCCAGGCUUUUCUUUUCUGGCUCCAGCUUUACACCUUCCUGGAGGAGGGGGACUUCUGGCAUCUGCUUCUCUGAGAGGGAGCACGCCAGAGGAGCUACUCUUGCCAGCAUUUUGUGCCUGGUGAGGGUGCCUUAA